rnacentral:sRNA from 1 species
CGCCUUCCCCGGCGCGCCAUGGAGCCCCGGGCGGUUGCAGAAGCCGUGGAGACGGGGAAGGAGGAUGUGAUUAUGGAAGCUCUGCGGUCAUACAACCAGGAGCACUCCCAGAGCUUCACGUUUGAUGAUGCCCAACAGGAGGACCGGAAGGUGGGUGCUGGCCCAAGGGGUAAAGGGGCAGGGACGGGUGGCCCCAGGAAGAAGGGCCUGGUGGAGCCGCUCUUCUCCCUGCCCACAGAGACUGGCGGAGCUGCUGGUCUCCGUCCUGGAACAGGGCUUGCCACCCUCCCACCGUGUCAUCUGGCUGCAGAGUGUCCGAAUCCUGUCCCGGGACCGCAACUGCCUGGACCCGUUCACCAGCCGCCAGAGCCUGCAGGCACUAGCCUGCUAUGCUGACAUCUCUGUCUCUGAGGGGUCCGUCCCAGAGUCCCCAGACAUGGAUGUUGUACUGGAGUCCCUCAAGUGCCUGUGCAACCUCGUGCUCAGCAGCCCUGUGGCACAGAUGCUGGCAGCAGAGGCCCGCCUAGUGGUGAAGCUCACAGAGCGUGUGGGGCUGUACCGUGAGAGGAGCUUCCCCCACGAUGUCCAGUUCUUUGACUUGCGGCUCCUCUUCCUGCUAA